rnacentral:lncRNA from 1 species
AUGCUUGAAAAAGAUUAUCACAACAGAUAAGAAGAAAUUUUAUUGAGAGCACAGCUCGAAAUGAAUAAAUUAAUCAAGAUAGAAAAUUUUGCUAAGAUACAAAAAUGAAUAAGAUGAAAAUAGGUGCCCCAGAUAUCGCAGCAUGAGCUUCUCCGCACAAACUUCUUGAGGACCCGUUUGAACUUGAUAUGUGUUUAGAAGUCCUAGAAGACUUUGUUGAUGCCCUAAGAUGUAGCAUCUGCCCUUCUUGCUAAUUCAGAAAGGACAAGACUACCGCAUGCCCCACCUUUGAUAAAAAAUUUGAAUUGCCCUUUCCUGGGCUUUCAAUUCAAAACCCCUUUGGUUUUAAGGCGCCCUUUGUGGGUUUUCACCUUGGCCUCUCCUUUUUCUUUUUCUUCUUUUCUUUUAUUUCUUUUCUUUUUUUCUUUUUUCUUUUCUUCUUUAUUUUUUGUUUUUUUAACAUUUUUUGAUUGAAUUCGCACUCGUAGGAUCAGGUAAGUUCUUGCUAUCCUUUAUGGUUAAAAUCAACGCUUCUCCAGAUAAAGCCUUCCACAUAGGUCCUUUUCAGUUUGAUAUCCUCUUUCUUCUAAAGUCUUUUUUUGUAUGGGGAGGAUUUUCUUUGAUAUUAAGUCCCCUUCAUGGAACUCUCUAGGGCAAACCUUCUUUGGUGAGCUCACGUCUUUUGUUUUUGGUGCAUUUGACCAAGACAGAUAACUUUGAACAUUUCUCCUCAAUCGGGAUCUGACCCAACACUCGGAGAGAAGGAAUCUUGACAUUAAUAAACAAAACUGCGAUAAGCCAAUGUGUUGCCCCGACAGCAGUUUUUCUUCAUUUUUUCUUUCUUUUUUUCUUUGCUCCAAUUGUGCUGUGCAUUUUGUGGCAAAAUGUGUUAACCUUGAACAGACUGCAAACUUCUGAUAUCUUGCCGCUGUUCACUUUUAGUGCAUUGUCAGAUAUACUCCUUUUUGGCAUUUCAUACUGACAUGAUUUUUCAAGAAUUCGCAGACUGUUGACUUUGCGACAUUGGUAUAUGAAGCAGCUUCUGCCUACUUAGUGAGGUAAUUGAUGACCAUAAAGAUAAUCGUCAAAAACCUUAGGUGAGAUCGGCCCUAUGACAUCUGUGCCCCACAUAGAGAAAGGCCAUGGCUUCCAUUGAUUCUGUAUAAGGUAGAAUCUUGUUUUCCUGUCUUUAACAAAUCAGGAGAUAAGCUACAGUCUCAGUUGUCUCCAAAGUCUUGAAGUUUAAUCUGGACACAUAUCUUGCUCAAAAGGAGGUUCUGAGUCAAUAGCAGUGUCAGUCAUAUCAUUGAUAUCUGAAGACCUGUUAUAGGGACAAAAGUAGAUCCAAAGAAUAAAAGAAUCUAAGAAUAUUUAUUUGUAUAGUAUGAUUAUGAAUGAAUUGGAAGCAAUAAAAGAAUAUUUGCUCGAAGUGAGAAAUAAAUAUGCAUUUUAUUGAAAUAAAGAUGUUGGACAUAAGCCUAUCUCACAAAAAGAUUCUUAUUGUCCCUAGGCUUAGAGUAAUAACCGUGUUUUGGACAUUACUCCGAAUCAGCUCUAAAAAAAAUACAGGGAUCUCUUCCACAGUCCCAUUACUCAAAACACCCCCAAGUAUGUAAGGGUAAAUAUCUAACAAGGUCUUUUUUUCAAUUGUGUCCUCACACAUGGCAUUGAUGUGAACGUCUCUCAACACUUUUUCGUACGUCGCAUUCACCCCCUCAUCAAUAUAAUUGGGUAGUAAAUUUCCUGUUCUGGAGGACUCAUUGAAUUUGACAAUGCCCGUAUUGAGAAUCUCUUCGCUAUCUUCUUGAAUGUGGUGCAGUUUUCUAUUGAGUGCCCCGUGAUUCCACAUAUGCAUCAAAUAGGCUUUGAUAUAACUCUUUUCAUGACAUUGGUAUAGGUGAACUGAGGCAUUUCCAUAUCUGUCUUCGUAUAAGACUCUCGUUUUAAAGGGUGCUGAUGGCUAGUCAUUUUUGUCUUUGACUGGCCCACAAUGAUUGCUUUUGAGUAGCCCCUGUUAUACUUGUCCGCAUUAUCCCCCUUAUUCCUCUUCUUCUUUGAAGCCUUUAUAGUAUUUGGGUAUUCUACCCUCGCUUGUUUUGGAUCAUCAGAGGCAAAAGGCUUAGCUAGAUUGCUCCUCAGAUUGGAUCCUGAGCCUGUUGAGAAAAUCAUCGGUGUCAAGGUACUGGUCUAGUAUUGUGUUCGUAUGUUAACUAUUUCCCGUUGUGGAUAUGAAUUUGGGGUGCAGCCUGGAGGAUAUGUAGGGUCCUCAUUAUCAUCCCAUAGUGGACCAUUGGGUUUUUCCUUUUUUCUUACCCUUUAUCCAAUAACUGAGUUAACUGACCCAUCAGAUUUCUUUGGACUUCUAGCAUCUGAUCCUUCAUAUCUUUUUGAAAUUUGGUCAAUUACUCUUGCAUCUGUAUUUGGCUUUGCUCUAAUCUCUCCAAAUUUUGGUCCAUCCUUUUAGUUUUUCUCAGAUACCGUAAGGGUGUUGUUUUUCAGAUUAGCUGAAAUAAUUUUACUCAAUUAAGGUCUUUUAAUGAUCCUUAAUGUAUGUGAUGUCAUGCAAUGCAAAUGCAUGAAAUGAAUGCAAAAAAGACAUUGACUCUAAUUCAAUUCCUUUUAGAAAACUUUACUAAAAAAUAAAUUUCUUUACAUAAAGCGGGUGCAUGUACGGCCUCGCCCUCAUAUUCCAAGAAACAACAUCGAUCUUCCUCUUUAUUCGAAUGUUUAAAAUAAAUCUUGCAAAUUUCCAAUGGAUGCCACUACUAGCUCCUUCUUGCUUGAUCCUAGUUGCCACCCAUCGUCUGCCCAUCAUCGUAAUGCUCAUCAGCUUCUUUAAGGAAGCCGGAACAUCGGCGACUCUCAAAUAAUUAGCUUGAAUCUUUGGGCCACGAAGUAAAAUCAUGUACUCUUCCAUCACUUUUCUUUUGUUGUGUUUCUUGGAAUGUAUUCGGGCAGCCAUAUUAUCUUCCACUUUAUCAAGGAAUCCAUUUUCCAUGACAAGCUUUCUAAUUUAGUAAUCAAACUUGAAUCAACAUCUUUUUCUAAGAUGAAAAUGCAAUGCAAUCAUAACCAAAACAAAACGAAAUAGGUUAGUACAAAGCAAAAGCAAAUAAGAAAAAUAGAGUACCUAUUCGGGUAACCACUUAGGGGUUUGAAGUGGUUCUACCUAGGGUUGGACUCCUAAGAUCCUCUACAUGUGGUUUGGUUCUAAAGCAAGGGUACCCGAACCAGCAGAUUCCUCGAUCCUCACCCAUUAUAGGCUCAUACGGACCGAGUUCAGUUCAGGGGAAUACAUUUCCCUAUGGCUGCACGGAGAUGAAAAUCUCACGAAGACAUAGGUACGGAUGUAUCCCGAAAGUGAUCCACUAUCCUGCACGGAGGUGAAAACCUCACGAAGGACUAGUUUCUCACUCCCACUUAAAAGGGUGUAACCAAGCAGUUAUGUAAUGCAAUAUGUAGAAACAUAUCGAAAAUUCAAAAUAAUAGAGUAAUUACAAAUCGAAGUAAUGAAUAUCGUAGCAAAACCGAUGGAAUGCAACAAAAUAAUCAUAAAUUUAAACCAAGUUUUUGGGUAACCUCUAGAGAUUCGGUGUAAUUCUACCUAGGGUAGGCUCCUAUGGCUCAUUAUAUGCAGUUCGGUUCUAAAGUAAGGGUACCUGAACCGACAGAUUCCUCGAUCCUCACCCAUUAUAGGCUCACAUGGACUGAGUUCAGUUUAGGGGAAUACAUUUCCCUAUGGCCAUGCGGAGAUGAUAAUCUCACGAAGACAUAGGUACAGAUGUAUCCCGGAAGCGAUUCACUAUCCCAUGCGGAGGUGAAAACCUCACGAAGGCGUAGUUUCUCACUCCCACUUAAAAGGAUAUGACCAAGCGGUCAUGCAAUGCAAUGCAAUGUGCAGAAAUAUAUCCAAACUUAAACUAACACAGCGAUUAUAAAUCAUAAUGAUGAAAAUCGUAAUAAAGACGAAUGAAAAUACAACGAAAGGAUCGUAUAUUUAAACUGAGUUUUCAAUUUUUGACAAAAAGACAAAACAUAAUCAACUCGUGGCUUGACUCUCUUAUUUUGGGUCCCCAGUGGAGUCGCCAAGCUGUUAACACCACUUUUUUGAUGAAACGGGAUCAACUUGGGUUUUGAAAACGAAAACGAAAACAGGAGUCGCCACCAAUCCUUUUUUAUAAGGUUUGAUUGGAUCACAUUGAAAAGUGGUUGCUUUUAAUAAACGAUUCAAUUUUAUUAAAACAACAAUUUUGGUCUACAAAAUUCAGAAAAACAGGUUCGGGAGUCGGUUACGUACGAGGAAGGCUUAGCACCCUCGUAACGCCCAAAAUUUGUACAUAAUUGAUUAAUUAGUGUCUUAGUGUCAAAAAUUGAAAAUUUUAAAGAGAUUUAAAAUACGAUCCUUUGUUUUAAAAACUUAUAUAAAACAAAUCACUCGUUAAAACCCUCUCAUUUCAGAAAGAGAAACUGUCAUACCUAAUGAGUUAGGGCAUGAUAUUUCACUUCCUCAAAAAUAAGCUUGUCCAAAAAACUCAUGCAAUAAAAUUUAAAAGGAUAUUCAAUUGUUUAAGUCAGAUGAAGAAAUCAUAGUCCAAUACGUUAGGGCACAAUUUCUCAAAAUUCUAAACAUUAAAUAUUGCCUUUAUUUAUUUUUUAGAAAAAUUCUCGUCUCGAGAAAACAACGUGUUAUAUCUAAUGCGUUAGGACACAACGUAUUGAAUUCCCGAUAAUAAGGUUUCAUUAAUGUUUUUUGAUUAAAGAGCAUUCUCGAUUAUUUAGAUUCAACGAAGAAAAAUGGAACCCAAUACGUUAGGGCUCAAUCCUCUCGAAUCUAAACACAAAAUUUUGCUUAUUCAAAAGUUGAAACUUAUGCGUCGAAAUAAAUUAAUCUAAUUCGGAAUAGUAGAAAUGAAACACGAGAUUAAUAUGCAUACAAAGCAAUAUUGAAUGCGAUAGUAAAAAAUAAUACAAGCAACAACAAUAAAAAUGAAUGGAUAAAGAGGACAAAUUAAUAACACAUAGAAUAACGAGCAUAAUAAGCAAGUAAAGUUAAUAUAUAUAUAUAUAUAUAUAAAUAUAUAAUGAUGAAAACGUAAAUAAAUAAACAAAUAAAGAGAAUGAACAAAAUUAUAAAAAAUAUAAAAAAGGAUAUAUAUGUGAGUAUACAUAUUAAAGUUUAAAAAUGAUAAAAAUAUACAUAUAGAUACAAGCAAAUAUGAUAAUUUAUAUAUAUAUUUAAAAAUAUAUUAAAAAUAUGUAUGUAUAUGUCUACACAAAUUAGAAAGUACAAAAAUAUAUAAGAACGUACAUAUAUAAAUAUAUACACUUAUAAAAAUUAAAAAAAUAUGUAUAUAGAUAUAAAUAUAUGUAUACAGUUAUAAAAUAUGUAAAAUAUAAAGGUAGGUAUAAAUAUGUGUAUUUAUAAAAAUUAAAAACGUAUAUUGAUAUAUACAUUAAAAAUAUGUGUAUGAAUUAUAAAAUAUAGAAAAUACAUAAAAAAAGAAAUAGAUUUUAAAAUAUAAAGAAUAUGUAUAAAUAUGUGUAUAUAUAUUUAUGAAAAUAAAAGAGAAUACAUGUAAGUACGUAUAUAUAUAUAUAUAUAAAUUUAAUAUGUGCAUGUAAAUACAUACAUGUAUAUAAAUUAUAAUAUAUAAAAAAUAUAAGCGUAUAUAUGUAUAUCAAUAUUAGAUAUGUAUAUAUGUGUGUAUAUGUAUAGAAGCAAUUAUAUAAUAAUAAUAUAAUAAGAAACAUAUAUAUAAAAUUUACAUAGUAAGUAUAAACAAAAAUAUGAUGAUAAUAACAAUAAUAAUAAUAAUAAUACUAAUAAUAAUAAUAAUAAUAAUAAUAAUAAUAAUCAUCAUCAUCAUCAAUAACAUAACAAGAAUAAUAAAAAAAAGACUAAUUUGAAUUUUAAAACCAAGAUUGGGGCACAAUCAGAAAUAAAACAAAAAGAGGGACCAUUCUGAAAAUGAGCAUAACAUGGAAAGGCCGAAGGAGAAAUUUCCCCACCCUGAAAACGCAACGCUUUAAUGCGGACUUGAUUGAAACAGAAAUAAAAUGGGAGAUAAAAUUUAAAAGGAAAUAAAAUAUAAAAGACGGACCUAAUCGAAACACGCUUAAAAUGCGGAAGGACCGCGCGCGCAAAUGUCCCAAAAGUCCAAAACACGUGGAUCCUCACGGUCGGGUCGGGUCAUGCUUGGGUGCCCUAUACGGCGUCGUUCUGAGGCCACUAGAGCAGGCCUCAAACGACGCCGUUUUGCGUCUGUUAUAAAAGUAAACAUUUUUUUAAAGAAAAUCAUUCUUCCAUUCUGUUUUAGCAAAAACAGAAAAAAUCUCAUUCUCCCAACUCUCUCUUCCUCUCCAGACGCCGGCCUAGCUCCGGCCAAGGGUACCGGCGCGGUCGCCAUCGUUGUGACCCCUUUUCAACCGUUUUAACCCCGAGUAACCCCGAUCUACCCUAAAAACUGGCUAAAAAUCGUCAAGGAUCAAUAGAAGACCGAAAAACUCUUCGGUUUCCUCCCCUCUGGCCACCAACAAGGUAAGACCUCCUUCUCUUUUCUUUUAUUAUUUAAUAUGUAAUCUUAUAUAUAUGUGCUAAAUAAAACAACAAAGAAAAUAAAUAAAUCAAGAGACAGAAUGAAGAAGAAGAAAGAAGAACAACAUUUCUUCAAAUUUUCGAUUUUUUAUUGAUUCAUCCACAUUUUUUUUUUAAAAAUCCUCCCUUUGAUUACAUUUCAUUAGGCUCUUAUAGCCGUUUACAUAUUUGCUUUUUGCUAUUGUUUGUUUCUGCUAUCUUUGCCUUUUUCUUGCUUCUGUUUUUCUCUUUUUUUUUUUGCAGGCAAGAUGAAGUCAACGAGAGGAGUCUUUGCCAUUUCGGUGCAAGGCACAGCUGGCGGUGGCAGACCUCGGGCGUUGUGCGCGUCGAAGGUGCACAUGGGCAGUAGCGGCGCGAGGAAAAGCAGGGAACCCUAGGGUUCCCUGAUGUUGUUUAAUUUUUGGGCCUAAUUGGGCCGGCUAGGGUUUUGAAAAUUGGGCUUCGGGAUUGGGUUAAAAUUUUGUAAAUGGACUCUUUUUGUUUAUUUGGUUUGGAGGGCCGGGAAAAAUUGGGCUACUACAAUUAUCAUAAGUGUUAUCAUUCAAUAGUUUGUAGUUUAUCACCGUUCUGGGUUUUGUCCUACUUGUUCUGAAUGAUUAUUAAAAAAAAAUGAUGCACACCUAUGUUUUGAUUCGCUUCUUCAUAUUAGUUUCAUCUUUUCUAGUUCAGUUAUUUGUUGUUUAUACCAUUUUAAUUCUUGAUUUGAUGCAAUUGUAGCGUUAGCUCUUAUUUCUUUAUCUUCGUUUAUAAUUUCUAGUUUGUAUUCUAUUUUUGUUUUAUCCCAAUGGGCUAAUGGUUCUUCUCCUAUUAUCCCUAAUUUUUCUAGUCUACUCUGCAUUUGUUCUUCUCCCAUUUCUUUUACAACUAUAGGUAUUCGAGCUAUUGUUUCCAUAUUGUUGGGCUGUAUAUAUUUUUUUUCAAAAAGUGUAUUCUCCCUUUAUCUGUCUAUGGAUUAUCAAAAUAUGUUCCUUUAUAUGCUUGGUUUAUGAUUCUAUAAGACUCUUGUAUUUCUCUUCCUAAGGGUCCAGGUAAUUUAUUUAUUAACUUGUUUUGAAAUUCUUUAUUAUAUAUGUUCUGAGAUGUAGCAGUAUAAUGUAUGUAGUCAUUUAGGAAGUACAUUACAUCUAACCAAUCAUCUAAUGAUAAUUGCUCUAAUUUUCUUACAGCUUCUGAUUGCUGGUAUCGGGAUCUCAUUGAUAGUUCUGAUGCAAUUAUUAUGUUACUUACAACAUUUACAAAAUUAUUAGGAUUUGCUCCUAGCUGUAUAAGUUUACUCUAUUUAUUUUCAUUUCUACUUUUAAAAUUAUCCCAAAUACUUUCGGCCAUAUUUCUUUUCAAGUAUUUAUGCAUCUCUUCUGAGGUAUGCUUAAUAUUAUGUUCUAAGUUUUUUUUAUUGUCAUAUUUUUCCAUUGUUGAAUUUUUUGAAAAAUAAAAGUUGCUGCUAAGUUUUUAUUCUAUAAAGAAAAGGAUUAGUGAUGGAGACAGAUGAGAAAUGAACUGAUUUCAACAUUUUAUUAGUCUCUAAUCAAAGCCUUUAAAUAGGUAAAAUUCCAACAGCUAAUAGCUAGGAAAUAGGAAUCCCAUACAACAAAAUAUUGAAAUUAGAGGAGUAAUAACAGUAAAAUAUUGAUAAAUUAUUAACAGAUUAUUUGCACAAGACAUGAUCUUUUUAACCAACUACUUGAUUCAAUCAAACUCUACACACACACAUACAGCUUUAACAAACUCUCCCUUAAACCAAAAGCUCGCAAAUAUUUGGUUUAAAAGAUUAUAGCUUCAAACUGAUGGAUCUUCCAAAGUGCAGACACCAAACAACCUUAUUAACUUUUGAAAUGAAGCUCUCUUUAAAGGUUUAGUGAAAAUAUUAGCAAUUUGGUAUUUACUCCUACAAUAAAUCAAAUCAAUGACGCCAUUAUUUGUAAGAUCCCUCAAAUAAUGGUACUUCACAUCUAUAUGCUUACUUCGGCCAUGUAAGACUAGAUUCUUGGAAAGUUUGAUUGCUAAAUUAUUGUCACAGAAAAUUAUUGUUGCUCAUUGCUGCAAUAAGUGUAGUUCAUCAAGUAUUGUAAUCAACCAAAUAGCUUGACAGGCACAAGUUGUUGCAGACACAAACUCGGUUUCAGUUCUAGAUAAAAUGACAAUUGGUUGCUUUUUUGAAGACCAUGAAAUAGCCCCUGAGCCCAGGAUAAAUGCUUAACCUGAAGUAAUCUUUCUAUCAUCUUGAUCACCAGCAUAAUCAUUGUCUGUAAAGCCAAACAAAUCUGAUUUUUCACCCUUUUUGUAGAACAGACCAUAACUAGCAGUACCUUUCAAAUACCGAAGUAUUCUUUUUGCAGCUAAAAGAUGAAUUUCCUUUGGGCACUCCAUGAACCUGCUAAUAAGACUUACAGCAUGCAUAAUGUCUGGUCUUGCUACAGUUAAAUACAUCAAGCUUCCUACCAUUUGCUUGUAGAUGGUGCUAUCAACCUUCCUCCUUUCAAGAUCUCGAAUAAGUUUCAUGCCCACUUUAAUAGGUGUGCAAACGAAGUUGCAAUUCUUCAUUUGAAACCUAUCCAAAAUUUCUUGCACAUAUUUCUUUUGAGAAAUAAAAAUUCUAGCAGUAGAUUGUACCACUUCAAAGCCCAAAAAAAAUGAAGCAUGCCAAGAUUAGUCAUAUCAAAUUCAAUCAUCAUAGGCUUCUUGAAUUUGUUAAACAUGACAACAUCACUCCCAGUAAAAAUAAAAUAAUCAACAUAUAAUCAAACAAUAAUAAUUUUACCUCCAUCACAAACCUUGGCAAAAAGUGUAUGCUCAUAUGAACACUUUAGAAAGCCUUCUUUUAGAAAGAAAGCUUCGAUGCGACUAUACCAAGCCCUUGAGACUUGCUUCAACCCGUACAAAGCCUUCUUUAACCUAUACACCUUUUGCUCAUUUCCAUGCUUUACAUAUUCAGGAGGUUGCUCAAAAUAUACUUGUUCUUUCAAAUCACCAUGUAAAAACGCCAAUUUCACAUCUAAUUGGAAAAUAGGCCAUGAAUUUUAAGUUGCAAGAGGCAAUCACCAGCCUGAUUGUAUCAUGACGAGCAACAAGGGCAAACACUUCAUUGUAAUCAACACCAAAUUCUUUCUUAUAGCUUUUAGCUACUAAGUGCGCUUUGAAUUUGUCAACCUCGCCAUUUUCUUUUAGUUUUGUCUUGUAAACCCACUUCACACCAAUUGUUUUGUGCCCUUUGAGAAGAUCAGUCAACUCCCAAGUGUUGUUGCAUUCAAUGGUUACCAUUUCUUCAUUCAUUAUUUUUUCUCCGUUUGGACUCUUUUACGGCUUCUUUAAAUGUUACUGGAUCACAAUCUGAAAAUAAAGUAAAAUGUGCAACUUCCUCUUUAUUAAUUUCCUCUACCACAAAAUUCUCCAUCUAUGCAGGUCUCCUCCUGUUACGUUGAGGACGCACAUUUGCUGGUUCAGCGGCUUGCUGCUCACUUUGCACUUGCACUAUUGGCCGCUGCCUUCCAUCUUCCUUAUCACCAUCAAAACCAGCUUGUAUUUGUUGUUCAGUUUUGUCUGUGUCCCAAUUCCAAAACUGAUCCACAACGAACACCACAUUACGACUGAUAACAAUCUUCUUAGUGAUAGGACUGUACAAUUUAUACACUUUUGAUUUCUCACUAACACCAAGAAAAAAUGCAUUUUUCUCUUUUGUUAUCAAGCUUUUUCCUCUUUUGAUCUGGAACAUGGGCAUAGGGAACACACCUAAAUAUUCUAAAAUAAUCUACAGUCAAUAUUUGAUCACUCCAAGCUUCUUGUAGUGUGAUAUUUUGAACAGCUACGGUUGGGCUUCUAUUCAAGAUAUGGAUGCUCCAAUUGGCUGCUUGCUAAAAGGCUUCAGGCCAUGUUCAAAAUUGUACGAUUCUUCCUUUCACAGAUGUCAUUUUGUUGAGGUGUGUAUGUUGCUGUUUGUUGCUUCUUAAUUCCUUUCUUAGCACAAAAAAUAACAAAUUCUUCUUAAUUGUAUUCUCCACCACGAUCACUAUGCAGUACUUUGAUUGGAGUCCCUGCUUCGUUUCCAACUAGAGCUUUGAAACUCUUAAAGGCUGUGAGAGCUUCAAAUUUUUCAUGCAAAUAAUAAACCCAUUUUUUUCUACUAAAAUCAUCAAUGAACGAUAUAAAAUAUCAUUUACCUCCAUUUGACGUAGGAGUGAUCGAUCCCAUAAGUCUGAAUGCACAAGCUCCAACGCCUUCCUUGCUCUCCAUGAAUUUCCUUUUUGAAAUGGUUCUUGAAGUUGUUUACUGAUGACACAUUCUUCACAUACUUGAGAAGGAGUUCGGAUGUGUGGGAGGCUUGUCACCACAUUCUUUUGCUGUAAUAUUUUUAAACCUCCAAAAUUUAAAUGCCCAUAUCGAAAGUGCCAAAGCCAACUUUCAUCUUCCAACUUUUCAGAGAAGUAUGAGUUGGUAACGAUGUAGAGGUACAAUGGAAACAUUCUGUUAGGUGUCAUAUCAACUUGGGCAAUUAAUCUCAAUUAUUCAUCUUGUAUUUUGCAAACUCCAUCUUUAAUGGAAAUCUCAUAUCCCUUUUCUUAUAAUUGGCCAAUGCUCAACAAAUUUGUUUUCAAAUCCAGAACAAAGAGGACAUUAAAUAUAGUAUGAACAACAUUGCUUUUCGUUUGAAUCGUUACCUCUCCCUUCCCAUUUACAGAGACUUUUGAAUCAUCACCAAACUUCACGUUGUCACUAAUAGACUCAUCUAACAUUGAAAACGCAGACUUGUCACCACUCAUAUGAUUGCUGCAGCCUGUGUCCAAGUGCCAUAAAUUCUUUUACGUUUCUUUUUUGACAUGACAAGCCAUCAACAAAGACACUUCUUCAUUUUCUACAAAGUUAUUUCUGUCUUCAUUUUUAUUAUUCAAAUUAACUUGACAUUCUGAUUGAUAAUGGCCAUACUUCUGCCUUUGCCUGUACCUUUCCAUCUACCACGGCCUCCUCUAGUUGUGAGAUGAUUAUCUAUAGAAGCCUUCAAUGCAUGCUCCUCCCUCUCUUGCUGGAAAAUUUUUUGCUCAUGUAUCAAGAAAGAACUAUGCAGCUCAUCAAUUGAAAAUUGCUCGAUGACAUGAGCUUCCUCAAAGGAACAAACUACAAAAUUGAAUUUUGUAGUCAUGGAAUGAAGUAUUUUCUCAAUCACAGCAACAUCAUCAGUUUUGCCACCAUAAAUUCGUAUUUUGUUGACAAUGGCCAUUGUACAUGAAAAAUAAUCGGUUACCGACUCACCCAAUUUCAUUCGUAGCGUUUCAAACUCCGAACGAAGUGCUUGAAGCUGCUGUCUCUUUUCCCUCGCAGAACCCUAAUGUUAUUGCUUCAUGAAAUCCUAUAUAUGCUUGGACGUGUCUUUGCAAAGGAUGGUUUCCAAGAUUGAACGGUCAAUUGCUUGGAAAAGACAAUUUUUUACUUUUAAAUCUUUCAAGUGUAGCCGUUCUAUUUCCUUCUUCUAAGCCUCUGUCACUGCUAUGUCAUUUGUUAGUUCCUCAAUUCCCUCAGAAACAACCUGCCAAUACUCAUUGGACCUCAAGAAGUUCUCCAUCAACAUAAUCCAAUAAUUGUAGUGUCUAUCAAAGUGGGGAAUGGAUGGUUGAACAAAGUUGUCGGUGGCCAUCACUUUGCUUGGUGUUGCUGCUGCUACUAAAAAAAGCUAAGGCUUAAACCUGGCUUUGAUACCAAUGUUGAAAAAUAAAAGUUGUUGCUAAGUUUUUAUUCUAUAAAGAAAAGGAUUAGCAAUAGAGACAGAUAAGAAAUGAACUGAUUUCAACAUUUUAUUAGUCAUUAAACAAUGCCUUUAAAUAGGCAAAAUUCCAACAACUAAUAGCUAGGAAAUGGGAAUCCCACUACAACAGAAUAUCGAAAUUAGAGGAGUAAUAACAGUAAAAUAUUGAUAAUUUAUUAACAGAUUAUUGGCACAAGACAUGAUCUUUUUAACCAACUACUUGACUCAAUCAAACUCCACACACACACGUACAGCUUUAACAGAAUUAAUUUGGGCCAUAGCUAUAGACUAUAUUUUCCAAGGUUUAGUAGCAAAUCUUCUUCAAAAACAUCCAAAGGUUGUAUUUGGCCUUUAUUUUUUGUAUGGGUAUUUAGGCUCCCUAUAGUCUGAAUAAGGUCUUACUGGUAUACGACCGUAAUUAUAUAUAGUUGUAGAGGGCUCAUUCUUGGGGGGUUUAAUGGGGUAUUAUUACUAGUAUUUGGUAUGUCCAUUUCCAUGGGCAUUGUUGUCGUGUCCAUUAAUUUUUUUGGGUUUCUUUCUAGAAACUCAACUAUAUCAUUUUCUACAAGAUUGUUAGUUUUUCUAGAUUCUCUUCUAAUAGAUACAUGUUCUAAUAUUUCUUCGUGUCUUACUCUAAAUAUUUCUAUGACUUUAACCGGUCUUUUUCUUAAUAUUGCUCUUUUUAUAUAUUGUAUCCUUUCUUUUUCGUUGAGUGAUAUGAAAUAUUCUAAUCUUUUUUCAUACUCUCUAUAAGAUUUAAAGAACUCUUUAUGAAUAUAGAAUUCUUCAUAUCUUCUUAUAUUUUCUUCAUCUUGUUCAUCAUUUAUUAGCUUAUUAUCUAUUUCGAAGUCUGAAUUUAUACUUUUAGCAGAAGCGGGGCAUUCUGUCAAUAUCAAAUGUCUAUGGUUAUAGUCUGCAAAUCUUAUACUUAUAUUUCCUAUUAUCCUUGAAAUACUUCUCCUUUUUGGGGGGUUAGUUUUGGUCUUUGUUCUUCAAAUAAUUUAUUUAAGUUCCAAUUUUUUUCUUGGUAGAAGCUCGGUUGAAAAUUUUGGGCUUCUAUGACGUCUUUUAUUUCACAUUUAUAAUUAAUAUUGCUAUUUUGAGUGGCUUUUCCAAUAAAUCCAAGAGUUAUCACUAGGUUUUCUCUAUUAAUUAACCUCUAUCCUGAAGAUGUCAUUCCUAAUUAUAUGUUAUGAAUAUCUUUUAUUCUGAGGAAGAAUUCUGGGACGCAUUUAAAGAGUCCCAUAUUGUUAUUCAUGUCUACUUCCAUAAAGCUGAUAAUCUUUUUCUGUUUAUCUUCAUUGAGUCAUCAAAUAUAGGCAUUAUUACAUGGGCUCCUAAGUCUGCUUGUGCCAUUUAUUACAAAACCUGACACCAAAUCACCAUUUCAAAUUACAAUUUACAAUUUUUUUAUUGACAUAAUAUGGAAAAAAGAAGUAAUUUAACUCACUUACAUUUUUUAAUGAAAAUUUUCUAUCAAGCUAUUGGAUAACCUCAAAGAUAAAGCUUUCUAUAACAAGAAUAUCAUCUACGUACAUUACCAAGUAAGUCAAAGACCUCUUAGUUUUCUUGAAAAAUAAUGACGAGUCAGCCUUUGAAUCCCGAAAAUCAAGUUGUAUCAAAAGCUCUCUUAGAAAAACUAAUUUCACAAUACUUGUUUGUUGUAUGAAAUCCCCCUUUUCCAACUCUCCUUUUAAUAGAGAUGAAAAUGUAUAUGCUGGCAAGUAAUUAGAAUGAAUUAUUGUGUUGUACAUUUUUAUUUGUGGCUGGUGUGGCUUUGUUCUAUCAUUUUUUUGGAGUCGAAAAUGGUGAGUAUUUGGUAUAGUGAUAGUGUAUUUUUUAGGAUAAAUUACACCAAUAGUCACUCAACUUUGAUGCAGUUAACAAAAUAGUCACUUAGGUUUCAAUUCAGUCACUCAACUUUCAAAAAAUGAAAAAAAUAGUCUUUUUAACCAUUUUCCAUUAUAGACGUAACGAAAAAGUGACAUGGUAAUUGACAAAUUCCUUAUUGUCAUUAAUCGGCUAGCUGGACGUUAAGCACCAAUUUGAACAACCCCUUUUAGCACCAGUUUAGGGUUUAGGCAAUAGAAGAAAAAGAGAAAAAAAUGAAAAAUUGCACCAGUUUGGGGACUUGAGUAAUACUAAUAAUCCAUUAGAAUUUUUGGAUUUGGCAUUAUAAUGACUGAGCUCCUUCUUGCAAAGUUCCUUUGGCUUCCUUGACUAGGAAAGCCCCUUUCCACCAGCUACUUUAUUUCAAGCUUGGAUUUUGCUUCACCUAUAUCAAUAGAUGCAAACUUGAGUAGAAUGGAGUUAAAAAUUUGGGUUUGUAGGGGUUGGAUUAAGACCCUGGGUGACUCCAACUCAACUGAAACAGUAAAGACACUGCAGCAAGGAUCAGUAAUCCGACAAUUUAAGGUUGCAGUCAAUGCAACAAGCAUUAGAAUGCUUAUCAAGGGUCUGACUGACCGCUUCAUGAGAGCAAUCACAUUAGAGGGACAAUAAAUGGGGUUUGCUAGGUAUGGCCAAAAUAAGAAAAAAAAAGUACAGAUCUUGAAUAAAUCUAUAUUGGGUUCAAACCCAUCUUCAAGUUCAAUAGAUUUUGGCAUCCCAAAUAGAGAAGAGGGGUUUAAGCACAAAAAAGAUUCUAUUUCAGUAUUGGGUUUUACAAGAAAUGAAGAAAAAAAUACCGAAUCUUCCUUAUUAAAGGACAAAUCAUUUCUUAUUUUUGAAUAAAACUUAGAAACAAAAAGAGGAAUAAAAUGAAAUCUUGAAGUGGGAAAUCUCACAAUAAAGUGAAAUGCAAAUUGCAGAUGAAAAAUACCAAUUGAUUUCUAACCCUUACCCCUAUUAAUCGAUUUUCGAAUCAAAUUUUUAACCCUCAACCAACCUUGAACCCUAAAAUUGAUUUCUAACCCAACACCCUGGUUACUUAUGUAUUGUUAUUGACCAAAAUUAGGCACAAAAGGCUUUUUUGUUUUUUUGGUGAUUUAGUAUUUCAAGAAGAAAUUUCUCUAUGGGAAAAAGUUUAGGCUUGGAAAAAUUAGUGAAGUAUAUAUUUCGCUGUGCAAGUUUUGAGGGAUCAAGUGUUGGGGGAGGUUGAAAUUUAUCCACAAUAGCAGCAACUAAGGGAAGAAGAAGAAGAAUAUGGGGAAAAAAGCCUUAACGAUUUUAUAGUCUCUUCUCUUCUUCUUCUUCUUCUUCUUCUUCUUCUUCUUCUGUUAUUAAGUUUUUUUUUCAAUUUCUUCUUAACUUAGGUGAGUUUCCACCGUGGACAUAUCCAACAUGGCUAGUUAAUUGGCCACGUCAGCUAGUUAACUGGCCACGUCACCUGUCCCGUUAGGUCUGUAACGGGAAAUGUUAGUAGGUGACUGAUUUGUAACUUUUCGAUAACGUUAGUGAUUGAUUUGUGAUUUUUGAAAGUUGAGUGACUGAAUUGAAAACUGAGUGACUAUUUUUUCAGUUACAUCAAAGUUGAGUGACUGUUGGUGUAAUUUACCCUUUUUUUAUUCCAUAUAUAAUCUUAAAAAAUUGUCAUUUUUCUCUUUUUCCUUUUUAAGUAUUUAAUAUUUUAUUAUAUUCUUGUAGGACACUUGUCAACUCCCUAAAUCUCUUUGUAAAGUCUAAAAACUCCACUGAUAAUGUAUCAAAUAUUUUCUCAUAAAUAAAACACUUCUUACCUUUAAAAUGAAGAAAAAGAAAAAUGCUAGGUGGUUGUAAGUAGGGGUGAGCAUUCGAUCGAAUCGAAUCAAAAUUUUUUGAGUUAAUCGAGUUUUCGAAUCUCAUUUUAUCAUCCUAACUUUAUUUGAAGUUUUCUCGAAUCGAGUCGAGUGAGAUGGAAUUCGAAUCGAAUCGAAUAUAUUUGUUCGAGUUAAAUUUUAAAAAAUAAUUUUGGGUCCUUGUAACCAUUGUCACCCAUCAUAAUAAAAUUUGUCCAGCUUAAUCAAAUUUUUUAUUAACUUUCAUCACUUCAUAAUUUAUUUAUUAAUUUUUUAUAUACUGGUUAGCUUCUUUGCUUGCUUUGUUGUUUUAAUUAUCUUCAGAUUCUUGUCACUAUGUAUUUUAAAAUUAAAAAAUAUAUUAAAUGUAAAAAUAUGAAUUUUUAAUAAAAGUUAUUUUAAAAAUAAAAUGUGAAAUUGAUACCAAUAUAAAAUUUUAACACGAAUAUUUUAUGGCAUAAUUAAUAAUUCAAUUUUAAUAUAAAUAUUUAAUAUGACUAAACAAUUCAAUAAAUAUAAAUAAUAUAGAAUGUGAAAUUUAAUUUAAUAAUAUAAAUAGUAUAUAUAAAUAAAAUUAUUACUAUUUAUGUUUAGUGAUUUUUUUUUGAAUAAUUUUGAUUUUUUAUUUGAGAGUAAAGGGUGAGAAGUAAAAGUUUAGGGGAAGAAUAAAAAAUUUUGGGAAAUAAAAGUUUGAGGGAAAGUAAAUAGGGGGAGUAAAAUUUUGGAGGGAAAAUAUUUAAAAAAAAUUGGAGCAGGGAGGGUUUGGGAUAGAUGGGAGGUGGGAUGGGAAGGGAAUAAAAGUUUUAGGGGAAAAGUGGGAGGGAGUAAAAAUUUUGGGGGAAAAUAAAAUGUUUUGAGUGUUUUUGGGAGUAAAAUUUUGAGAAAAAAUAAAUGGGAGAGUAAAAUUUUGGUGGGAAAUGGAUUUUGGGUAGAUUGGGGGGUUGGGAGGGGAGGGGAGUAAAAGUUUUGGGGGGAAAGUGGGAAAGAGUAAAAGUUUUGAGGGAAAAGUAAAAAGGUUUGGGAAUUUGUGGUAAAAAUUUAAAAUAUUAUAGUUUGAUAUUCGAAUUAUUCGAGUUAUUCGAAUUCAAAAACUCAACUCGAUUCGAACUCGAAAUUCGAAAAAAAAUUCGAGUUGAUUCGAAUAACUCGAUUAACUCGAAUAAUUCGAUUCGUUUAACUCGAAAGUCAAAUUUUUUUUUUUGAUUUUUUCGAGUCGAAUCGAGUUUUGCUCACCCCUAGUUGUAAGUGUUCAUCAUAGCUUCAACUUUUUUUUUACGUUUUCAAGUUUUGUUUUGUUGGUAGAUUGCAUGAGAUUUACUUUCAAAGCAAUUUGAAGAAUCCAUUGUUCUUUUCAAGCAAUUAAAUGUUCAUAGAAAUCUUCUGUUUAUUUUUAUUUGGUGUCUUAAGAUAUGCAUUUACAAUACUCACAAAAUUUAUUAUUAUUAUUAUUAUUAUUAUUAUUAUUAUUAUUAUUAUUAUUAUUAUUAUUAUUAACUUUUUAUUUUUUUAAUUUUUUAAAAAAAUCUUUUGCAUUGCCAAUAUUUUAAGAAUUUUUAAUUUUCUUUUAAAGAGCUUUUUCUCUAACUUUUGGAAUUAUAUUUUUCUUAAUUUUGAUUUUUUAAGUUAUUUGUUGACAUAAUAUAUAAGGCAAAGUAGUUUCAUAUUAGCAACAAAAAGUUAAGGCCAAUUUGUUUCAGAGGCCAAAUUAAAUAAAUGUGUAAAUAUUAAAAGCUAAAUUUAUUAUUAUUUCUUAUAUACAAAAAGUAAAAAUAAGCGCUUAACAUCUCGAUUUUAAUGGAAUGACUAUUUUAUUGCUUCAUCUAACCUACGUAGAUCAAUUUAGACAAUUUUUUCCAAGCAAUUGACAUAUAAUCUGAAAUAUAAUAAAAAAAUACUAAAAUUCUUUCACGUUAUUGAAAAAUAUAUUGUAUAACUUUAUGAUCUAGUGGUAGCAAGUUGGAUCUUUCACUUCUCUAUCCUUACCCCUAUCAAGAUAAAUAAAUAAAGAUAUAUUCCGCUAUCAAUCUAUCGUCAAAUUCAAUGCCCCACAAAUAUUAAAAUUAAGCAUUACCUUAUCUCUAUACUAAAGAUCAAUGACAGAAACGACUUUUGGAUUGCUCAAUUAUCUUAUCUCUUACCAAAUGAAAGCCACAUUAAAUAUCCAAGUAGAACGCAAUAUGCUUUGCACCUAUAUAAUCCCCGAAAGCCCAGAAGUAGCAUGCUCCAUGAUUCAUGCUACAUGCUACUAAACCCCACUAAGGCACCAAAUUAGCCUUCUAUUCUUUAGGCGGUCUGCUUCAUGCUGAUUUUCCAUACCAUAAAUUACGUUUUCUCUUCCUCCUUUUAAUGGAAUAAUCAUUCUGCCCUUAUUCUACACUUUAACAGUGUUUCAUUAGUUUGUUUAACUUAGUAUUUAUUUGUUGGAAUCACCAAUUCCUUUUUGUUAAGGGAAUUUCUGAAUUCUUCCACAAAAGUUUUUGAAUAUCUAUAUUGAAUAAAGUCGGGAGAAAAAACUCUCAUUGAUGUUCAAUAUCGAUCUUUAUUGAAAAUUCAGUCAUCUAUCAGACCACAUUUUGAAAACUUACUUUCGAGAGAGCUAGAAAUUCCCUCAAACACUUUUCUAUUCCUUAAACGGCUGUGAUAGUCAUCUCAAUUCCACCCACAGCAGUAACACACCAAAAACAUGACCAUGUCUACGUCUUUCGACCAACCUUUGAGGUCAUCCGCCUCUGCAAAUAAAACGGUGAUUAGUUCGCCGGUGACAAAAAUCAACAAAAAUAAGAAUUCGUAAAACACAACAGUAGACAGAAGAAUCCCAAAAUUCCCUCUAGUUUUUGGUUAGAGGGACUAAAGAUGGGGAACAACAAACUAAAGAUAUCAAUAGGUGAAUAUUCAAAGAGAGAAAGAGAGGAUGAGCGUCAGAAGGAUGGACGAAGAGAGAAAGUGAGGUGAGAAACUUUUUUGCUUGGAUUAGGUUAAAGUUAAAAUACUAUUUAAUAAAUUAUUAAACAUAAAAUAAAAUGUUUUAAAAAUCAAUUUUGCUAAAAUAUUUUACUUUUUUUUUCUUACUUUUAAUAUGUUAAAAUAUUUUAUACGUAAUGGUGUGUUUAAUAAAUCAUUGAAAAUUUUUGUUUUAUUGAGAAUGAAUUUUCAACCUUUAAUAUUUUAGUUUUAGAUGUGUUUAAUAAUUAUUUUAAUUUUUUACUUAAUAUAAAAUUUCAAAAAAAUAUUGAAAUAAAUAUUUAUUUUAUUUUAUUUUAUUUUAUUCAAAAUUUAAAAUAAAUUAUCUUCUUUUUGUUGAAAAUGAGACAUUUAAAUUAUCGUAUUUAUUUUCAUCAAAAACUAUCUAAAAUAAUAUAAAAUAUUAUAUUAAUAAGAUUAAAAUUAAAAAUAAAUAUUUUUUUAAAAAAAUUAAUUUUUAUUAAAUGGAAGCUUAGUCUGUGAUUCAUAAGGUCGUAUGAGAUCAUCGAGAGAAUUGGGCCAGUAGCUUACCGUUUAGCUUUACCGUAUGAAUUAGAGAAAAUUCACAACGUGUUUCAUGUAUCAAUGUUACGGAGAUAUCGAUCUGACCCUUCACACAUAAUUUCGCCUGUUGAUGUAGAAAUUCUGGUAGAUAUGUCCUAUAGUGAAGAACCAAUUAGAAUUGUAGCUCGAGAAGUCAAAUAAUAAACGAAUAGCUCUGGUUAAAGUUUUCUAGCAUCGUCAUGGGGUCGAGGAAACUACCUGGGAACGAGAAGAAGCUAUGAAAGUGCAAUACCUAAACCUAUUUUCUGGUAAGAUUUUCAGGGACGAAAAUUCCUUUAGGGGGAGAGUUGUAAUGACCCAUUUAUAGUGGUGUUAAAAGCAAUGGUCUCGGGACCACGAUUUCGACAAGAGAGUAAAUAUUUUAUUAAUUAUUUAAAGCUUACGAGUGUUUAUUAAGGUAUUAUUAAAUUUUUGUUAAGAAAUUUUGAAGUUUAAACUAUUAAUUAGGUAAAAAAGAACUAAAUUGAAAAAGGUGCAAAAGUCUUCUUCUGUUAGUUAAGUGGAUUAAAUAGCUUUAACAAGGUGAGUUAAUGGACUUAUUUAGUAAUUAUGUUGUAUAUGUUUAUAGUGGACAAAUAUGGACAUGUUUAUGCUAGUAUUUAAGUUAUAUUAUCAGGGCAAAAGAGUAAUUAAUCAAAUAAUCAUGAAAUAAAUAAAACAAAAGCUGUCAUGUUCUUUCUCUUUUUCUUGUUUAACUAUAAACACCAUUGAAGGGGGGAGAAAAGCUUCAUUUUUCUUAAUUCACUUGCAUGGUAUGUAUUCAAGUCCCGUUUUUAGUAAUUUUUAUAUUUUUGAGCUUUUUUUAGCUUAAACUACUUAGCUCGAGGAUUAAUUUGCAAAGCUGUUAAAGGUUAAAGGAAAUGUUAGGAAUGAAAUUGAUGAAUUUGUGAUGUUAAUUGAUAGGUUAUUACAUUUGGUUGUUAAAUAAAUUUAUUUUGUUAAGUGAUUUUUUUAUAAAUUUAGUGUUAAAGAUUAAUUUGCUAAAAGUGUAAAAUUCCUUGAAAUUAUUUUGGGUAAAUAUGGGCUGAUUAGGUACUCUAGAAGAAUCAGUUAACACAUGUUGUCUAUGAAAAUAGUGAAUUUGCAAGUUAUGGUUAUAAUGACUAAGUUGUAAAAAAAUUAAAAUAGGAGGGGUAAUUUUGUAAUCUCAUGAUAAUAUGAAUUAUAGAUUGAAUUGAAUAUUUGAGGUUAUUUGAAGUACUUAAUUGAAUGAAGGUAUCUAUUUAGAUCAAAAGAAACCACAACUGGAUUUAAAUCGAGAAAACGCAAAAGCUUUGGAUUAGUCUCCAACUCUACCUUUGCGACUAUAGUUACCAACGCAAGUUCGUAUGAAUAUAAUUUUAUUAAUGAUAUUUUAAUUGAUUAUUUGUUAUAUUAUAUUAGUUAUAAAUUGACUUGAAUAUAUAAAUAUAUUGACAUUUUGAAUAAUUGACGGAUAAAUAAUCCCGUUUGAACCUUAAGAAUUCGUAGGAUUUGAAUGACAUGUCAUUAAGAAUUUCAUGUUUCGGGUACUGGUCUUGAAUGUACUACCAAUGACUAAGGUCCUGCAUUUGUUGUGAAUUCUCCACAGCUCGUGUGAGCAGUAUCAUGUAGCUAAAAUUCUGACCCACAGCUGGUGUGAGCAGGCCCAUUUCACUGCUCGUGUGAGCACUAUUGAAAAUGAAAUGUUACGAUUAUAUGGAAAGGCACACUAUAUGUGAGCAUUCCCGAGUAUCCAAUAAAUUUCUAGAUGGUUCACAGGUAAGUAAAGGUUAAUGGCAAGGCAUGUAUUCAAAUGGAUAAUUAUUCAUAAUCUUAUAAAAGGUAAAUUUGAUGAAUGGUAUGUACAUGGAAAUUUACUUAUGAUAUGGUUGAACUUAUAUGUAUUAUGUAUUAACUUGCUAACUUGUGAGUUUGGUGGUGUAUAUAGGAGUUUAUUUAGCUUAUGAUCAUGGUAAUGAUGUUAUUCAUAUUUUAUAUAUUGAGCUUAAGAAGGGUAAGUUAUAUUUGAAUUUAUACGAGCUUACUAAGCACUAGUUGCUUACGUAGUUAUUUUCCUUUGUUUCGUAGAUUAUCGGAAGCUUGAUCGGCUGGAAGCUUGUCAGAGUUCUAUCAACACUAUCCAGUAAUCUCUUUGGUAGUUCUUGAGUUAUUUUGGCCAAGGUUAUAAAUGGUAUAUUGGUUAGGAGAAAUAGGUUGAUUGAAUUGGUAGAUUUAUAUGUGUUUGAAGUGUGUUUAGGUUUAUUGAAGGUAUGUACUAAUGAAGUAGAUUUUUGGGCAAGUUGUGGGCUUUAAAUGGCUUGUUUUUGGGGGUUUGGGUGCCGAUUUUGGAGGAAGAAUUAAGAGAAAAAAAUUAAAAUUUGGGAGAAGAAUGGAAGGGGUGAGGGCGGCACAAAAAGAAGAUUGAGUAGAGGGAAUGAUUGUUGAUGAAAUAAGUGUGAAAAAGGGGUGUAUUUAUAGGGAUGGUGGGGGUUUAAGAGAUAGCAACAAAAAUUUAAAAGACUUUUUCAAAAUUAAUUACUAAAAGAUAAUCAAAAUUAAAAAUAUUAAAAUAAUUUAUAUUUAUCAAUUAAAUAAAUAAAAUUAAUUCGACUCAAUAAUUAUCUCUAGCAAGAAAAUCCAAUUAAAAAGAUAUAAUUAAUUGAUAAUUAAAUUAAAUCAUUUGAAUAAAAAGAAAUUUCUUUGUGGUCCAAAAUUGACCAUUUAUUUUGCAAACUCCCAAAUGGGUUACUUAGAAAAUAUUUCUUAGAAAUUAUAACAAAAUUAAUUCCAAGGAAAUAUUGGAGGGGUCACAAUUUGGUCCCUCUUAAAAUCCAACCUUCUUGAUAGAAAUUUUUUCUAUUAUAUUUAUCUUCAAAAUAUUGUCUAAGUAGUUUAUUUUUAAAGAAAAAUUUAACACUUAUUGUUUGAUUAAACUUACUGAGAUUUUAUUGUGCUCAACUUUACUGUUUCCAUAGUGUUUAAGGCGCUGGCCAUUUACCUUGAAUAAUCCCCCUUUCUAUUGUGCAACUCUACAACUCCGUAUGGAUAGACUUGGUGAAUCAGGUAGGGCCUAGAGCAUCGAGAUUUAAGUUUUCAAGGGAACAAUUUCAUCCUAAAGUUAAACAACAAGGCUCUCUGGCCUGCUUUGAAUUCUCAAUACUAAAUGUGCUUGUCAUGACAUCAUUUUAUUUUCUCUUUCCAAAUCAUGGCAUUCUCUUACGAGAACAUUUUUGAUUCUUCCAAUUCAGCUAACUGAAGUUUUCGUUUGUCUCUAGCAAGAUUCAUGUUCAUUGAGUUGCUUUAGAGCCUAGUAAACUCUAUGUUCAAGCUCCAAAGGAAGAUGGUAGGUUUUUCCAAACACUAAACGGUAUGAAGAUAUCCCCAACAGAGUUUUAAAGGUCGUUCGAUAAGCCCAUAGCGCACCGUCGAGUUUCCUUGACCAAUUUUUUUGUUAGGUCUUACCACCUUUUCAAGAAUGUUCUUUAUUUCUUUAUUUUCCAACUCAGCUUGCCUAUUUUUCUAUGGAUGGUAAGUUGUAGCAAUAUUUUUCUUGACAUCAUAUUUGUCCAAUAAUCACUUAAGUCAUUUAUUCACAAAGUGGGGCCUUUAAUAACUUAUUAUGGCUCUUGAUGUUUCGAACCUUGUGAAUAUAUGCUUGUGUAGAAAGCGCAUAACUGCCCUGGUAUCGUUCGUUGGACAAGCUUUAGCCUCAACCCACUUUAACACGUAAUAAAUUGUCACCAAAAUGUAUCUAUUGUCAUAUGAUGAGGGAAAUGGACUAAGAAAGUCGAUGCCCCAAACGUCAAAUAAUUCCACUUCAAGAAUAUUGUUUAAUGACAUCUUAUUCCUCCUUGAUAUAUUCCCUACCCUUUGACAUUUGUCUCAGUUCUUUACAUAGGCAUACGAGUAUUUGAAGAGAGUAGGCCAAAAGAAACUAGCUUGCAGUACCUUAGUCACUAUAUGUGAUCCUCCAAAGUGCCAUCCACUUAAAGAAGAAUGACAAUGGCAAAGAAUUUUAGCAACCUCCCAUUCUGAUACACAUCUCAUAAUCAUCUGAUCUGCAUAUUGUUUAAAUAGAUCUGGCUCUUCCCAGAAAUAAUAUCUCACAUCAUGUAGGAAUUUCGUCCUUUGUUGAUAUGUUAAAUCUGGUGGGAUUAUUUCACUGGCCAAGUAGUUAGUGAUAUUAGCAAACCAAGGACAUUUAUGUACAAAACUUACCUAAAAAAAUUGUUCAUCUGAGAAUAUUCAUUUAUAGGAACUAGAGAACAUGUUUCCUUGGUUUGCUCUAACUUUGACAAAUGAUCUGCCACUUGGUUCUCAGCUCAUUUCCUGUCUUGAAUUUCUAGAUCAAAUUCUUGAAGUAAGAGCACCCAUCAAAUUACUCUCAAUUUAGCGUCUUUCUUUGCAAGUAGAUACUUGAUUGUUGAGUGGUCAAUAUAAACUGUAGCCUUGGUGCCUUGAGUUCCAACGUAUUUGGUUCUUCAAUUAAUGUUUUAGGUUGUCUGUAUUCUCAAUAUUCUAGCUCUAGAAAGUAGAAACGAGAUGGUCGAGCAUAAUUGGCUUUCAACAAAGCUGUGUGUUCUUUGGCUUCUUCAUCUUCUGGUGGAUUAGAUCCUAAAAUAUUCUCUAAUGGGUCUUCAAGAGAAUUCAGCUCCCAUUUUAUAGAGACUAAUGAUUUUAAUUCCACCAUUGUAGAACAAUCUUCAACUGGGUUAGGAAAUUUCAUUGCUUUUAGCACAUUAAAAGUUACUUGGUCACCCUGAACUCGCAUAGUAAGUUUGCCUUUUUGUACAUUGAUUAAUGUUCUACUAGUUGCAAGGAAGGGCCUCCCUAAGAUGAUUGGUACUUCCUUAUCUACUUGAAAAUCUAAAAUGAGAAAGUGACCAGGGAAAAUAAACUUAUCAACACGUACUAGAACAUCUUUCCUUCCAAAUGUGCUUCUGACCGAUCCGCUAGUUAAAGUGUUACAGUUGUUGAUCUUACUUAACCUAUUCCCAAUUUCUUGAAUACAGACAUCGGUAUCAAGUUAAUGCUUGCACCUAAAUCACAUAGAGCUUUACCAUGAUAAAAUUUGCCAAUGUUGCAUAGUAUAGUGAAGCUACCUGGGUCUUUUAGUUUUGGGGGUAACUUGUUUUGUAAAAAUACGCAACACUCCUUUGCCAUCGCUACAGUUUUAAAUUCCCAAAGUCUCCUAUUUUUGGAUAUAAUGUGCUUAAUGAACUUAGAAAAUUUUGACAUCUUUUCUAAAGCUUCUACCAAUGAAAUAGUGAUAUGAAGCUGCUUAAGAACGUCUAAAAACUUCUUGAACUGCACUCAUGCUUUUGUUGUUUCAAUCUUUGUGGCUAUAGAGGUGGUGGAACCUUCACUUGGACUGAAAAACUCUUCUGAACCUUGGGUUCUGCAUCUAACAUAGGUAUUAGAUUAUCAAAUUUGAUUGGGCUAGAAUUUACCUCAUUGGAGUUUUUAAACUCUGGCUUCUAUGGUGUGAGAAUUUCAACUUCCAGUUGAAUUUCCUCUUUAUCUAUAGACUGGUCUUCAACCUUAACUACCUUGGGUUCAAAAUUCUUUCCACUUCGUAAAAGGACCACUUUGCAAUGCUCAUUAUCCUUAUUCCUUGGAUUUUUUGUAUUGCUUACUAAAGCUCCUUGUGGUUUAUUAUGAAGCUCAGUAUCCAACUGACCAACUUGGUUUUCAAAAUUUUUCAAAGUGGCCACUUGGCUUUGGAUCAAGGCGUCAUUCUUGGCCAUGUAUGAUUUUAACAAGUCCUCCAGGCUAUUGACAGGUUCAGCUCGAGGUGGCUUUUGAACUUGUUGAUUAAAAGCUAGUGGGUGAUUUAACCUGGGCUACAUGUAACUGUUACUAGGUCCAGCUCUUAAUUUACUCUAGGAGAAGUUUGAAUGGUUUUGCCAUGAAGGGUUAUAGAAGUUGGACUAUGGUCCCUACCUAUUUCUAUUUUGAUUUUGAUUUCCUACAUAGUAGGCAGACUCCAAAUUUGAUGGACAGUUGUCAAAUGAGUGUACGUCCCCACAAUAUACGAGGAAAUGUUGUCAAACUGACAUGGUGGUUGGGAUGCAACAUUAUUAAGACCAUUAGUAGUAAAAGUUUUUAACAUUGAAGAGAUCGUCCACUUUAUGUACUCCUGCUACUCGUAUUUCUCCUGCUCUAUUGGUCGGCCAUUGGUAAUUAUUACUAGAAAUUCUCUUGAUGAUGUCAUAAGCCUCACUAUAAGACUUAGAAAGGAGAGCACCAUUAGCUGAAGCGUCCACUACUAUCCUCGUAUGUGCAUUGAGACCAUUAUAGAAGGUCUCCAAUUGGAUGCAGUGUGGAGUCCUGUGAUGAAGGCAUUUGCGUAAUAGUUCUGUAAAUCUUUCCCAUGCCUCAUACAGGGAUUCAUCGUCUGAUUUCUUGAAGGUUGUGAUCUCAUUCCUUAACUUAGCAUUCUUGCUAGGUGGUACGUAUUUGACCAGAAAAUGUUCCGCUAAAUCUUGCCAGGUAGAGAUUGAAUCAGAUAGCAAUGAGUUGAGCCAAGCUCUAGCUCUGUCUCUUAAGGAGUAUGGAAACAAUUUUAAUUUUAGUGUAUCUUCUGCUACCCCAACCAUCUUGAAGGAGUCACUCAUCUCCAUGAGCAAUCGAGGUGAAUAUGUGGAUCUUUAGUGGGCAUUUCGCUAAAUUGACUCACUUUUUGAAGCAUCUAGAACAUAACAGGCUUUAGCUCAAAUUACGGUGCCUCGAUUUUAGAUCUUCAAAUGCCUAGAUUAAGCUCAUUAAAAAGUGGCAUUGCGUAUUGUCCUUUGGCUCGAUCCCUGUCAUCAGCAACAAUGAUUGGGUUGUGAGCUUGAUUAUCCCAAAUUGCUUGACCUUGAUUUUGAAUUUCAAGGUUCAUUUCUUAAACUUGUCUCUGGGCUUGUCUUUCUUGUCUCUCCUGUCUAAAAGUUCACUAUAUUUUAGGGUUUACUGGGAGUAAGUCAAUAAUUUGAUUAACGUUAAUAAACACAUGGAAAGAAUUAAAUAAUAAUAAAAUAAACAGAACUGCAAAAAUAAACUUCACAAAUAAUGAUUCUAAGACAAUCCCCGACAACGGCGCCGAAAACUUGUUGUGAUGUGUAAAUAUAUAAAAUUAAUCGUGAAAUAUGUGCAAGUGUACAAAAUCAUAACAAGUAAUAAAGUGAUAAAUAAAUAAGUAUUUUCUCAUCAAGGACUGAAAAUUGAGAAAAAAUUUGUGAAAAAUAAAUUUAACAAUUUGAUAAGAAAAAUAAUUAAUCAAGGGUUUUAUGCAAUUAAUCCAAUCUAAAUGAUUCUAUUCUAUAUGUGUGCAAUUUUUCUCUCAAAAGAAUAAUAAAUACUUCAACAAAUGAGUUUUAAUAGUAACAGCAGAGUCAUUAAUCCACUUCAGUCUAUGAUUAAUUUUAUCUAGAUAAAUGUUAUUAUGAAAUAAAUUCUUUGCAUAAUUGGUGAAUCACUAACCAUAAUUUUUUUUUUUGGUGAUAGAAUAAAGAUACAAAGUAGAAAGACUUCAACACUCAAAGGAGGAUCUUCAAACAAUCUUAAACCUGGGCUUCUAGUAUGAACUCACUUAGCCAGACUAUCAGUAAUUAAGUUUUCCUCUCUGGGAAUAUACUGAAUUUUCCACUGCUCUAUCUUUCUCAAGAUAAGAUGAAUUUUCCUAACUAAGGCAGAGUUAGAGUUCCCCAAAGAAUCUUCCAAGAUUACAUUAAUAGCUUCAAUACUAUCAAUUUGGAUUAGGAUUAUCUCGAAACGCCUAUCCAGAAUAAGGUUCAGCCCAUUUAGUAUUCCCAAAAGCUCUACCUCCAAAACGGUGCAAUUGCCCAAAUAUUUGGUGAACCCAAUGAUCCACUCACCAUUAUCGUCUCUCACACAGCCACCAUCUGCAGCGAAACCUUCAUCAAACCUCAUUGAACCAUCUGCGCUCAAACUCACCUAGCUAUUAGGUAAAGGCAAAUUAUGAAGAUGACUUCAUGCUUUAUAAGAUGAAAUCCUUGAAAUAGAGGAAUAUUGUCUUGCCCAACUAUAUGAGAUUUUAAUAAUCUCGUCAACACUCCAUGUAAUACCUUGGAAAAUGAAUAGGUUUUUAUUCUUCUAGAUACACCACACGAUAAUCCCAAAGAGACAUGGCCAAUCGAUUCCACCCCAAGAUGAAAAAUGGCUCUAAAAAUUGUUCCUCAUCUAGUCGAGAAAAGAUCCAGAAUAGAAAACAGAAAGAUCUUGCUGUGGAAUAAGCUUGUCCCAAAUGCCUCUGGCAGCAUUACAAUCUCUGAGUAUAUGCAAAACAUCUUCAUAACCAUGUCCACAAAGGCUACAAGCACUGCUACUCCCAAAGCUGCAUCUUACCCUCUCAGCAUUUGUUAAGGGACGUUGUUUUAGAGCCAACCAGAUGAAAAAAUGAAUUUGAUGAGGGCCGUGAAACUUCCAUGGUAUUUCCCAGAGCCGCUCUUUUAAGUUGAAACUACCUUCAUGAACCUUCUCAUAAGCGCAUUUGAGAGAGAAAGACCUAGUCGAGGUAGUUCCACAAAUAAUUCGAUCAGGACCUAGCGAAGGAUGAGGUGGUGGUACACCUAUUAUUUUGUUGAUAAUCUCCUUAGGAACCCAAGGCCUGAAAAGAUCACACUUCCAAGAGCCAUCACAUGCAACCAUACUAUUGAGAGAAUAAUCUAGAAAAGGGAUAGCAGAAUAGGGGAUAAACUUAAAUAAAGGACCACAAUUGGAAAUCCAAGGGUCUUGCCAGCACUUGAUGCUAUUUCCGUCUCCAACUGACCAGUUUAAGUUCUCACGAUUGAGGGUUCAUACCUUAGAAAUGGAUCUCCAUAAAAAGAAACACCGACUCCUUGACAAGUCAUCUGGUAAACCUCCAGCGACUCUAUGUUUUGACCUAAGCACCUGAAUCCAGAGGGCAUUAGUAUUAGAAAUGAUGUUAAAACCAACCUUUAACAUGAAAGAGAUAUUGUGGUCUUUCAACUAUCUAAGACCAAGACCACCGUGAGACUUAGGUUGGUACACCGAACGCCAACUAACCAAGGCUGUCUUUGAGCUGCCAUUAUGAACUCCCCAGACGAAUUUCUGAACUACGUGCUCGAUCUCAUCACAGACACCUUUGGGAACCAUCAUUGUCUACAUGAAAUAACUUGGAAUCGAGAGAAGAACAGAUUGCACCAAAGUAACCCUUCCAGCUAAGGAAAGCUGACUGGCAUCCCAGCUAGACAAUUUAUUACGCACCCUUUCCACCUAUUGGUGACUUUGUCAUGAAAUAGUGGAACUCCAAGGUAAUAUCCCAAAUUAGUAACUUUUUUGAAAACCAAAGAAAUCACUUUUACGCUCCCCCAAGUUAUCGUCCACACCUUUUGAGAAAAAUAUUAGUCUUUCAUGAAUUAAUCUGAUGUAUCGAAUAGUCACAAAACUCGUCUAAAAUACUUUUAAUGACUCGAGCUUGAUUCUCAUCAGCAUAACCAAAGAGUAUUAAGUCAUCGGUAAAGAAAAUAUGAGAUAACAGUGGCCCACCAUAGGACAACCAAAUAGGAGACCAAUUGCCCACAUCAAUAGCAUUACGGAUACUGUGACUUAACCACUCUAUGCAAAGAAUAAACAGAUAAGGAGAUAAAGGACAUCCCUGACGAACGCCUCUAGCUGGUCGAAAUUUCUAGGUUGGGACACCAUUCAAUAAGGCCCGCAUAGUAGAGCUAGAAAUUGCAAACAUAAUAACAUUUCAUAAAAAAAAGGAAUACCUGCAGUUUGGAGCUACGCCUCAAUGAAAUCCCACCGUACUCGAUCAAAGGCCUUCUCCAGGUCAAUUUUGAUGGCCAUCCAUUUCCUGUUUUUCUACGUACCUCUCAUGGAAUGAAUAACCUCUUGAGUAAUGAUAAUGUUAUCAUUGAUAUUCCAUCCUGCAACAAAACCAACUUGCUUGGAAGUUAAGAGCCUCAAAAAAAUCACUUUAAAUCAAUUGGAAAUGAUCUUCAUGACCAACUUAUAAAGAACAAAACAUAAGCUGAUUGGCCAGAACUGAGAGAAAUCCAUAGGAUUCUGAGUUUUAGGGAUAAGCACAAUGAGAGAAUUAUUUAACUUUAAAUCAAUGCUUUUCCCUUUAAAGACCUCCUUAACCCACGUACAGACCGAGGUACCAACAUGAUCCCAUUGACUUUGAUAAAACAAGGCAUGAAAACCAUCACUCCCUGGAGCUUUCAAAGGUGCAAUAUAAAAAAGAGUGGCUUUAAUUUCCUCAGCCGACACUAGUUUGUUAAGAAUAUUAAAAUCCUUAUCUUUAGGGCACGGGAAAGCAACAGAUGGGAAAUCUCUCCUUAGCUCAGGAUGUUUGCCAUACAGAUUAGAGUAAAAAUUAACUGCUUCAAGCUUCAGUUGAUCAUCAUCCAUAAUCCACUUUCCCAAGCCAUUUUUCAAAGCAGUAAUUUUGUUCUGUUUACGUCUUCUCAACGUGCGUGAGUGAAAGAAUUUUGUGUUGCGAUCCCCAAAACCAACCAAUCACUACAUGCUUUUUGUCGCCAAAGAAUCUCUUUAUGAUGAAGCAAAUUUUCCGAUUCCUCUCUCACAUCCAUCUCAACUUGCUUAAGAAACUCCAAGUUAGUUCUAUCACGUUCAAUCUCAAUAUGUUCCAGUUUACGAGACAGGAGUGUUUUACGAGUAAAAAUAUGACCAUAAACCUCUUUGUUCCAAAUCUUAACUCGAUUAGUGAACUAAGCAUGUAGGGAUGACAUGCUCGCAGACAUCCUCCAAUUCUCUUUAACAAAGUCUGAAAAGGAUGGAUGUUUAAACGAACCGGCCAAAAAUCUGAACGGACUCCCUUUUAAAGAAUGAACCUCAUAAAAAAUAGAUAAUUUUAGAGGCCUGUAGUCAGAUUUGAGCCGAGAUAAAUGGGACACAAUUGAAUUCGGAAAAUUUAUGUUCCAAGCAGUAUUACAAAUAGCCCUGUCCAAGUGCUCAAUAAUUCCCCCUCUUUGCCAAGUGAACUGUGACCUCCGGAAACCUAAAUCUAGAAGUUGGGCGAAAUCUAUAAAAUUAUCAAAGAUAUGACACAUUUUCCCUAAAACUCGUCCUCCUUUUUUCUCACUAAAGGAAAUUAUGACAUCAAACUCACCAAUCGCCACCCACAAGGACCUAUCCAACGGAAUAGAACUUUGCAAAACCUCCCAUAGAGGUUUCCUUUUCUAACUAUUAGGACUACCAUACACAAAGGAAACCAAAGAAGGUUGUCGUAAGGAGCUAUCAGUAACUUUGGCUAAGACAAAUUAGGGAUCACUUUAGAGCACCUCCACACUAAUCGAUUCCUUCCACCCAAUCCAGAUACCUCCUAAAAAGCUGGCUGCUUCCACACGAUGAGAAUUGUGAAAAUCGAGCUUAGCAAUAACCAAAUCCGCUUUCUCACCACUGACCCUAGUUUCUAAAAGACUGAUCAAAUCUGGUCUAUGCUUCCAAUUAUAUUCCCAGAAGACUCUAACAAAUUAGAACUCGCACAUCCUUGACAAUUUAAAGAAAAGAUAGUAAAAUUCAUAAAUAAAAUAAAUAUGAGAAAAAGACUAACCUCGUAAAGGAUAGUAGUAGCUUAGACACUGCCAGAUUUGAUGUCUAGUUUAUUUGUAAAAAUUCUAGCUUGCACACUAAUGAGCUCUACCAUAAAGCUCAUAGCUUCUGGGAGGGAGACUCAUGAACUACUGGCAGGUUUGAAUUUCCCCCAUACGCCCACGAAUAGACUUAAAUAAAGAUUUCCCACUAUGUCCAUUUCCUUUUCUGCUCUCAGCACCAUGCGCUUUAGGAUUAUUUGAAGGGUUUGCACGCACCUUUGGUUUGGAAUUAUUAUCCAACUUCUCUUGGAAAGUAACAAAAGUAUGCUUUUUAGGGUAAGGAGCAUUAGAAAUUAGACCCACUUUAGCCUCAAGUUGCUUUUCGAAAGUAGGAUUCAAAUGUAAAGAGGUAGCCUUAUCAUUUGAAAAGUAAAUAGGAAUUGUUGGGUCUUUAUUCUUAAUACCCGUUGCACAAGCCCAAAUUAUAAGAAUUUGAAAUCUAGCCUGCAACCCGUUGUGAUCCAAGACGUUCCAACGAAGACUCAUUACACAUUUACGAAAUGCCCAAAGCCAAAUGUGGCCCAGAAUUUUCGGAAGUCAUAUCACUGACACGCAGCGAGACAUGGGCUUUUAAUCCCAACUCCUAUCCCGCAUUAUUAUCCCCAAAAGACCCAUAUUCUAUGCUUGGCCCACAAUCAUCAACACGGCCCGACAGACCUUCACCCAUAUUAACCACAACCACCAAUCCAGACCCUUUCUCUAUUUCCUUGCCUUUCAAGUUUUUGAUGAAAUCUCCUUGAAUAAACCUAGCCGUUCCAAGAACCUUAGAAGACAUCUCCAAAUCCAGUGUUAGAGAUUCAGAAUCCAUGGAAGAUAGUUUUUCAAAUCGGGAACCCACCGGAUUCCCUUAUAAAAUUUUUGUUUUUUGUCCACAAAUCUCUUCCUAUUUGCUCCGAGAUUUACGCUCAACCACCACCCAUGGGCCAAAGGCUUCUCCCAUCGUCGGCAGAGCAUCCCUCUUCUUCGCCGGAGCUAUUUCACUACUCAAAAAACUCUUGGGAGUUUCUUCACCACCGUGACCACUCCGAUCUGUCAAAGAAGAAAGACAUAAAUUCUUAAGGUGUCUAUAUUUACCACACGAUAAACAUACCUCAGGUAAUGCCUCAAAUUCCACACAUUGGAGUUGACCAUUGACAAGCACUUGAAAGGUAAACAAUUUUUCUAAAUCGACAAAAUCAGCCAUUCGGGUGAAUUGUCCCCUUUCCCGAUUUUCUGUUUUAAUAUCAAGUUUAAUCACUCAUUCAACCAAACUUCCAAUCUCCUCUAAGAUCUUUUUUUGGUAUAGGAAUCCCGGCAGAACCGGAAAGUGGAUCUACGCCAACACAUCACAGGGGAAUGGUCUUGACGAGCCAAAAUCCACUGUCUACGGUUAGACUGUAGGAUAGUGUCCAAACACUAUCAGGGGACCUUAUGUCAGCCCCGCAUCAUAAUCGACCCUGCUCUGGAAAUGAACAAGAUAAUAUCCAUUUGUAACAUCCUUAGGCAAAAGGAUUGUGUAGGCUUCCAGAGACUAGUGAUACGAUUAUACAAAGCCCCAUAACCUAUAUUGCGCCCAACAACUUGACCACCACGGUGAGCUCCAUUCCCUUGAUCAAGAUUUUGGUAAUGCGAUUCGAGAAGUCAAUGACAGGAACUUUUUUGGUCCAUUCCCAUGGUUAAGAAUAGCGGCACCAUCAAAAGAGUUAGAAACUGAUCCUCCCAAGAGUUUAUCUUUUCAUGAAACUCCACUUACCGAGGACGAGUCAACCAUCAUAUUUGCCAAAAAGUCAUCACUUCCACCAAACUUUUUUGGUAUUACGAUCAGCAAUGGAGUCUUCUCCCUUGCCAAUCUGAUCGUCGGACAAAGAUUCAGCACCGCUCAUUAUGAAAAAUUCCAGAGUUCUUAAUCUAUUGUAAAUUUAUUAACCAUAAUUUUAACUUACCCUUCCGGGUAUCGUUACUACAAAAUGAAAGAUGCAACAAUAUAAAUCUAAUAUAAAACAAUAUAAUCACUAGCAUGCUUCUCCUGAAGUCACUACGUUCAGUCUUGUAGGCCCAUCUUAUAUCCCUAUGUCAAAUGCAACUAUAAAAACUAUGUGAAGUAGCAAAAUUAGGUCUAUACUAAAAUAAUUUAAUCAUGCAUUCCUAAGGUUAUGUAAGGCAAUAGUUACCAUUAAUUAAUCCUUUUUUUUAGUUAGCAACCAUCUUCUGAGAUAAAUUAACUAACUUAAUUACUUAUUAAACUCACGUAGAAUUAAUAAGCAAACAUGAUUUUACCUGACUAAGUGAGCAGAACCAAAUGCAUAAUAAUUUUUUCGAACUUUAUUGAGCAUAAACAAAUGUUUCAUAAUAAUUCUAGCAUAACAAGAUUAAAACAUGGUAAUUGAUAAGAAAACACAAAAACACAAAGUAAUCAUAUUUUCAAUCAACAAGAACACAAGAAGAAUUUAAAAUAGUAAAAAGAAACAGAGUUGUUUCACGGUGGAUGUCGCGGUGGUGCACACAGCUUUUCCUCCUUGAGACGCUACAAACUAUCUUGAAGAAAGCUUACUGCUUCAAUUACCCACACUCAAGAAGAUUAUUUCUCUUGAAAAAAAUAAAGAAACAAAAUCUCUUAAAAAGAGAAUGAGAGAAUGUGAGUGAAUUGGCUGCCCCAAAUGAAUGGGUGAAAGGGCCUAUUUAUACUAAAGGAGGUAGCUUUAAGCUACUAAAAAUAGCAUUUAAAAUCCCCCUUUUACUCCCUCAUAUGGUCGGCCACUUGAAAGGUGGAAGAGAGGUUUGUUUGUUUUGUUGCUAAAAAUAACAAACUUAAAUAGUGGAUGGGUUUGAACAGGAUUUUUGGGAAGUUAAGGGUUUUUUGCAAUUAUUAAAAUUAGUAUUAAAUGACUGAUUUGGAUUUAAGGAAAAUGGGCUAAUCUAGGUGCAAAUUUUGACCUCCAUUUGCGUGUGAAGCUCCUCCCUUCGAGUGAAUAUUUUGACCCUUUUUUCCUGUACUUAGUGUUCUGGUUUUCAUUGAUAAUUUAUGCAUUUCAUCUCCAUGUUUUGUAGAGCCCCAAUUCAUCAUGUUAGACAUUCCUUCAUGUUAAUCUAGCAGCUUACAUGUUGGGAUUCAACUCGCCACACCAUCAGUGCCUCAACGGACAAGCUCCAAGACUGCAUUUUUUCACCGAUGGCUUUUUAACUAUAAAUUUGGGUUGAAUUUAUUUGGACUUGUUGGGAAACUUUUCCUUGCUGUUUUGGACAUGAAAUAUGCUCAUCUUUCAUGCAUGGAUUAAUUAAAUUUCAACUCCACUUGGUCGGUCAUGUUUAUCAUCUUUUUGGCCCAAUUGAUUCUGAAGUCAUCCUAAACUUGCAUAAUUUCAAUCACUAAGCUCACUAAAUAUUUAACAAAUAUUUAUUUUGUGAAAUUUAACAUAAUAAAAUAAUUUAAAUUCCAAGAGUCUAAAUAAAAAAAUUAAUUAAUAUUUUUAAGAAAAUUUUGAAAUUAAUAAGAAAUCACCUGGAAUUAACAAGAAUUGUAGUUAUAAAAGCUUAAGAUAACUCUAUAUUUUUUAGAGUUAUCACAUUUCUUUAACUUCAUUAUCUCAAAGGACUUGAAUAGGUUGUACUUCAUCCCAAUACCAUGUUUUCUCUUCAUCAAACACAAUAUCUUGGCUAAUCACGACCUCCUUUGUCAUAGGUUUGAACAAUUUGUAUCCCUUUAAUGUUUCACUAAUACCAAGAAAGACGCACUUCUCACAUCUAUCAUCAAACUUCUUCAUUUUCUCCUCUGAGACAUGUGCAUAGGCAAUGAACCCAAAAAUUUUGAAGUGAUCUACCACUGGUCUCAUUCCAGUCUAAGCCUCCUCUAGAGUCACAUCUCGAAGAGCAUGAGUAGGAAUCCUAUUCAAAAUGUUGAUGCUUUAACUUACAACUUUUGUCCAAAACACUUUUGGAAUUCUCCCUCUUGCUAGUAAGUUUCGAACGAUAUUGAGAAUGGUUCUAUUUUUCCUCUCCGAUACAUCAUUUUAUUGUGGUGUAUAAGCAGUUGUGAGCUCUCAUUAGAUGCCAUGAACAUCAAAAAAAUUUCAAAUACCUUAGAGCAAUAUUCACCACCACAAUCAGUUCAGAGAACCUAAAUGAUUUUUCCAUUCUUAUUUUCUAUACGAGCCUUGAAGCUUUUAAAUUCAUUAAAAGCCUCUAUUUUUUCUUGUAAAAGGUAAACCCAAAAUUUACGAGAAUAAUCAUCAAUAAAGGUAAUAAAAUACCUUUUACCUCCAUUGGAAAUUGGAUUUAUUAGCCCACAAAUGACUGAAUACACUAACUACAAUACCUCUUUUGCUCUCCAUGACUUGCCUUUGGAAAAUUGAGAUCGGUGUUGUUUGCCAACAACACAUUCUUCACAAACUAGGGAGGGAGAGAUAAUUGGAGGAGACCAGUCACCAUAUUUUUCUUUUCAAGUAUCUUCAAACCAACAAAGUUGAAAUGACCAUAGUCAAAAUGUCACAACCAUGAAAGAUCUUUAACUUUUGCCAUCAAACAAGAUUGAAUAGCCUCAGUAUUCAAUGGAAACAACUUGUUCUAACUCAUUUCCACAAUAGCAACAACUCUUCCAGAUAGAUCAAAAAUCUCACUAGCAUCAUUCUUAAAAGUGACAAAAUAUCCCUUUUCCAAUAGUUGACCAACACUCAAUAAUUUGUUUUUUAAAGUAAGAGCAUAUAACACAUUAAAUAUGGUUUCCACAAAACCAUUAUUGGUUCUAAUACUCAUGUUACCUUUUCCCAUGACAUCCAUAGUAGAACAAUCACCAAAGCUUACGGUGGAACGAAAAUAAUCAUUUAAAUACGAAAAACAUUAUUUACUUCCACACAUGUGGAUAUUGUAGCCUAUACAUACGAAACAUAUGGCUCAAGUUCCUUUUCAACUUGAACCACAAUUAACAAGGUUUCUUAUUCCUUCUUCUCAAAUAAAUGUGAUUGUUCAUCCUUGUCACUCAGUAACCUAGCAUAACAUUCAAAAUGAUAAUAAUCAAACUUUUGAAAUCUAAAGCAUUUUAUCUUGGAUUUGUCAAAAUUUCAUACUUUACCUUUACUUUGGUCAUCAUUGAUUCUGUAAUUCUCGCCUUAUUCCUCUACCUAAUACCACUACCUUUACCCCUUCCUCUAAAAUUGGAAGACGAAAUAAAAGUAGAAGCCUUCAAAUCUUAUUCCUCGGAGGUUGAAAUACAAUUCAUCUUCUGCUCAUGCACCAACAAAAAGCUUUGCAAAUCAUAAAGAGACAAUUCAUUUAUAUCUUCUAACUCUUCAAUAGAGCAAAUGACAUAAUCAAACUUCGGUUUCAUGAAGCGCAAAAUCUUCUCCACUAUGAUGACAUCCUCCAUCUUCUCACCAUAGAACCACAUACUGUUACAAAUCUCCAUGGUUCUAGCACAAUAGCAAGUGACAGAUUCCCCCGUCAUCUGUAAAGUCUCGAAGUCCUCCUCAAGGCUUGAAGCUUUGAUCUCUUCACCCUAUAGAGCAUUGAUACUUUUUCUUCAUGGAAUCCCAUAUAUCCUUGGAAGUUUCUUUGCAAAGAAUAGUUUCCAAGAUGGGACAAUCAAUAGCCUGAAAAAGAUAAUUUAUCACCUUCAAAUCUUUCAGCUUUCUCGUGUCGAACUCUACUUUUUGGGCAUUCAUCAAAGUUUAUCCUUCCGCAAACUGUUUGAUACUUGCCUCAACAAUUGGGAAAUACUCUUUUGAUUAUAAGAAAUUCUCCAUCAGCAUACUUCAAUGGUCACAGUGGCCAUCAAAACGGGGAAUGAUUGCUUGAACAAAACUGCUUUCUAAGGCCAUAGGUGAAACAUUUUCUAGGCUAACAAGAACAAAUCUAGCUUUGAUACCACUGUUGCACUUACAAGUAGAGAAAGAGAGAAAAAUGAGCUUUUAACUCAAAUUAGAGAAGAUGGUUUUCAUUGAAUUGACAAAUAAGUUCAAUGGUUCUAGUCUUUUAUAAGCUUUGUAAUAGCUAAAAUUAGUAAGCUUAAAGUUGAAAAUAGCAAAACUAAAUACGAGAAAAAUCCUCAAUCAUAUUUGGUAAUCCCUAACUUUUAGGGAUGCUUUAUUUACCAAAUAUAGAAAAUAUCUCAACAGUCAUCAUGUCUCUUAGUUGCAAUCAUCUGGUGCGGGUUAUGAUUAUGAUAUUGUAGUGUUCACCUAGGGUUAGAUUAAGCUAGCGCAAAGCCAAUCCAUGUGGGCGUUGAGGUUGCUCUCUAACCUCAAUAGUUAACUUUUUGAGUAUGGUUAUCCAAAAAUUUGUAUCAUAGUAUUGUUUUAAUAUGAAAAUUCAAUAAUUCUGAUUACCUUAUUAUUGGGAUGAUAGUUUUCUAUAUGAAAUGCUGGUUAUGAGAUGAAGAUCGCUGCAAAUAUUUUAAUUUUUUUAAUGAAUUUUGAGUAAUAUUCGUCAGACAAAAUUCGCCAAACGGAACAAUUGAGAAUAAUUAUCUUCAAUUUUUUUAAGGACACAAUUUUAGAGUAAUGAUUGGGAACCAUUUAAGUAACCUUUAAAUUUUUUAAGAUGAUUUUUAAUAUUUAGAGAUAAAAAUUAAUUUAUCAACCUCUAAAUUUUGUUUAUUUUCUUUUAUUGAUUUAUUUCUUAUUUCAUCCUUCUUGAUUCACAUUAAUAAAAUAUGAAAUCGUCAACAUCAUACAAGUAAAUAAACUGAAUAGCAGAAGCAAAUACAGAAUAACCUUAAUGGUCCCUAGAAGCAAAUUUUUUAUUAAUAUCACUAUCAUCAUCGUAUCAGGUGAAGAUGACAGGAUGAGAAAAUUUCACAUGAAUCCAAACAAAAUUAUUUGAUUGUGAUAAAUGACCAUAUACGACCGAUUUCUAGUUACAGACAAAAAAAAUAAAUAUUUAUAUUUAUAUUUAUAUUAGAUUAUCACAAAUCAGAUUAAAAGGAUUUUGUGAAAAUAUAUAUUUAUUAAAAUUUUAUAUAAAAAUUAAAUAAAAUAAAAUUUACAAAUUUUUACUGUCACACUAAUAUAUUUUAUUUUAUAUAACUUUUUAAAAGUUAUUUCCUAAUUGGAUGUCCGGUCAAUUAAUUUGUUACAGUUAACUUAAUCAAAGAUUUUAAAUCAACUAUAGAUGCGAUAUUCAACUAUAAAUUAUUUACAUAAUAGUAAACUUUUUAAAUUUCUGAAUUAUUUUUAACGAUGAAAUUACAAUUUUAUUAUAAUAUUAGACUAUAACUUCUGAAUAGAAAAUUGCUAUUGUAGCAAUUCAAGGCACGGUUCCUGCCUAGCACCGCUGCUCUAUAGAAAGACAAAAAUUAUAAUAAUUCUUUUAACCAUUCAUUUUGAUUUGCAAGUGGGUAAUAAUAAAGGAACCACUCAUGUGAUAUGAAAUACAGAUAAUCAAAGCACACACAGUUUCCGACAUUUCCAUUAUUAUUUUGUUUACGUCAGAAAAAAGAAGAAGACAGAUAUGAGCUCAAGAACUGGGGCUAAGGUGCCGGUCAUAGAUUUCUCAAACCAGAACCUGAGACCGAGCAGCCCUGAAUGGGAUUUGUUGAAGUUCCAAGUCCGGGAAGCAUUGGAGGAGUACAGCUGUUUUGAGGCCUCGUUUGACCAAAUCCUGGAACUUCGGCAGCCAGUUUUAGAGGCCUUGGAACAGCUAUUUGACUU